rnacentral:rRNA from 1 species
CCUACGGGCGGCUGCAGUGAGGAAUAUUGGUCAAUGGGCGCGAGCCUGAACCAGCCAAGCCGCGUGAGGGAAGACGGUCCUAUGGAUUGUAAACUUCUUUUGUCGGGGAGCAAAAGACGCCUCGCGUGGCUUUCCGAGAGUACUCGAAGAAAAAGCAUCGGCUAACUCCGUGCCAGCAGCCGCGGUAAUACGGAGGAUGCGAGCGUUAUCCGGAUUUAUUGGGUUUAAAGGGUGCGCAGGCGGACUAUAAAGUCAGCGGUAAAAUUGAGAGGCUCAACCUCUUCGAGCCGUUGAAACUGGUUUUCUUGAGUGAGCGAGAGGUAUGCGGAAUGCGUGGUGUAGCGGUGAAAUGCAUAGAUAUCGCGCAGAACUCCGAUUGCGAAGGCAGCAUACCGGCGCUCAACUGACGCUGAUGCACGAAAGUGUGGGUAUCGAACAGGAUUAGAUACCCGAGUAGUC